AUUGAACGCUGGCGGCAGGCCUAACACAUGCAAGUCGAACGGUAACAGGAAGCAGCUUGCUGCUUUGCUGACGAGUGGCGGACGGGUGAGUAAUGUCUGGGAAACUGCCCGAUGGAGGGGGAUAACUACUGGAAACGGUAGCUAAUACCGCAUAACGUCGCAAGACCAAAGAGGGGGACCUUAGGGCCUCUUGCCAUCGGAUGUGCCCAGAUGGGAUUAGCUAGUAGGUGGGGUAACGGCUCACCUAGGCGACGAUCUCUAGCUGGUCUGAGAGGAUGACCAGCCACACUGGAACUGAGACACGGUCCAGACUCCUACGGGAGGCAGCAGUGGGGAAUAUUGCACAAUGGGCGCAAGCCUGAUGCAGCCAUGCCGCGUGUAUGAAGAAGGCCUUCGGGUUGUAAAGUACUUUCAGCGGGGAGGAAGGGAGUAAAGUUAAUACCUUUGCUGAUUGACGUUACCCGCAGAAGAAGCACCGGCUAACUCCGUG
rnacentral:rRNA from 1 species